UGUAAUGAGGAUUCAUGGCGGGUCUACGAUGAGCAUGCCGGCACAACUCGAGGCCUGGACCACUCAAUGUGAUAGAGCCCGAGGCAUCCUUCAGGCCUUUAGUACGCGGAUGGAGUACGAGGAUUCCUACGGAUCGUCGCAAGCGUCGACGUCGGUUCCUUGUGGUCCCUCAUGGCAGCAGCCUCCCUUAUACCACCGACAGUACGAAGGGUACGGGUACCCCGGUUCUCAGCCCUAUGGAGGGCCAGGUGCCUCGCAAGGGGCUCCAUUUCAAGGAACCCAGUUUACCUCUAUGCCACCAGCUGGAGGGACUUUAGGAUCACAACAGUUCACCGGAGCGGGGCCAUCUUCGUAUCACCCUAUACCGCCACCAGGAGGAUAUGAAGGAGCU